GACUUCUAACGGUGGAUCUCUUGGCUCGUGCAUCGAUGAAGAACGCAGCCAGCUGCGAUAAGUAGUGUGAAUUGCAGAACUCAGCGAAUCAUCGAAUCUUUGAACGCAA
rnacentral:rRNA from 1 species